CAGCCGCCGCGGUAAUACUCGCGGUCCAAGUCGCAGCCAUUUUUAUUGGGUCUAAAACAUCCGUAGCUUGCUUUGUAAGUUCUUUGUGAAAUCUCAUCUCUCAAGGGUGGGGAGGGCAAAGAGUACUGCAAUGGCUAGAGAUUGGAAGACGUAAGAAGUAUGUUCGAAGUAGCGGUAAAAUGUGUUAAUCUCGAACAGACUAACAAGAGCGAAGGCAUCUUACGAGGACAGUUCUGACAGUAAGGGAUGAAGGCUAGGGUCGCGAAAGGGAUUAGAUACCCCUGUAGUCCUAGCAGUAAACGCUGUACACUAAACAUUAGUACCUCCUCGAGAGGUAUUAGUGCUGUAGGGAAGCCGAAGAGUGUACUACCUGGGAAGUAUAGCCGCAAGGCCGAAACUUAAAGGAAUUGGCGGGGAGACACUACAACAGGUGACGCGUGCGGUUCAAUUAGAUUCUACACCGUGAACCUCACCAGGAGCGACAGCAGGAUGAAGGUCAGUCUAAAGGGCUUACCUGACACGCUGAGAGGUGGUGCAUGGCC
rnacentral:rRNA from 1 species